rnacentral:rRNA from 1 species
UACGAAGGGUGCAAACGUUGCUCGGAAUUAUUGGGCGUAAAGCGCACGUAGGCGGAUUGCUAAGUCAGGGGUGAAAUCCUGGAGCUCAACUCCAGAACUGCCUUUGAUACUGAAGAUCUUGAGUUCGGGAGAGGUGAGUGGAACUGCGAGUGUAGAGGUGAAAUUCGUAGAUAUUCGCAAGAACACCAGUGGCGAAGGCGGCUCACUGGCCCGAUACUGACGCUGAGGCACGAAAGCGUGGGGAGCAAACAGG